GGAAACUGCUCCAAAAUUCCCAAGUUCUGCCCCUGAUUUGUUAGGUGUUCUCUCUGGCCUCACUCUCCCCUGACUACAGGAGGUGGAAGGGGGCUCCAAGGGGGAAGACCAGCCCUGCGGAGAGCCCUGAUACUAUUUCAUUGUACCAUCGUUUUUACAGAUAAAAGAAACUGCAGCAGAGAGAAUUAAGUGCCCAGGGGGGGAUUUGAACCCAGGAUGCCUGGCUUCCAAGACCGUGAUGUUCACCGCAGGUGCUGUUUGACAUAAAUCAGGCUGCUGGAUUCCGGGUUCCCUUUCUUGGGAGCAGCGCUGGAGAAGAGGGUCAGCGUCUGGCGGAGCAGGGCUGGCUUGCCACACUGACUGGAGAGGCCUGCCCACUCUGUCCUCCUGUUUCCUCAGCUGUGAAAUGGAAGCUGUAUCCAUGCCUUGGAGAAAAUCAGAAUAUGUGGAGAAAGAAAGAAAGAAAGAAAGAAAGAAAGAAAGAAAGAAAGAAAGAAAGAAAGAAAGAAAGAAAGAAAGAAAGAGAGAGAGAGAAAGAAAGAAAGAAAGAAAGAAAGAAAGAAAAGAAAGAAAAAGAAAGAAAGAAAGGAAAGAAAGAAAGAAAGGAAAGAAAGAAAGAAAGAAAGAAAGAAAGAAAGAAAGAAAGGAAAAUAAAGCAGCAUCUUCCCGCCACCCAGAGAUGAUUGCUGUUGACACUUGAACACGGAUUUCAGAUUUUUUUUUAAUGCUUAUUAUGUCCUUUUUUGUAACGCAAAUUAUAUCUACUGCGCAUCUAUUUUGACAUCUAUUUUGUUUCCACAGUUAACAACCUUCCCCUUCCCAUUUUGGUCAGUGGUCCUCUCAUCUAAUACCCUGCCUGCCUCCCACCUUUUUGUCAUUUAAAGGCGGACCAGGUGAGACAAACAGGCGAUCUGCAUGUGAAGGCAGAGCCCCGCGCGGCGGAUGAGGCCCGCUGCGCUCCGCGCCGAGCCCUUCCUCCCCUCCGCGCCCUGCCGGCCCGGAGCUGUGGAGUUGGGGGCCCG
rnacentral:lncRNA from 1 species